GGAAGUACAAAAGAAGCUAUCAUCCAAGAAGAUUGAACAAACAAAGCUAGCCCACCUAGCAGCAAAGGAGCAAAAGGAGGCAGCAGAGGCGCAAAGGGAGGCAAGAAAAUUAGAUGUUGAAGUUAGGAUGUUUGAGACAUAUAACCGCUUUCUCGCAAUUGGCGUAGCAUUGAUGUUCGAUGAAGAUAAGUUGGAGCAUGCAAAUACAAUGAAGUGUUUGAAGAAAAAAUUAUUUUCAGAUUAUAACUGAGGCAAUAUGAUUUCUGUUAGGUUGGUAAUAUGAUUUCUGUUAGCAUCUAAUUGUUACAUUGUGCUGCUAUGAUAUAUUUUAACAGUUUAUAAUACAUCUUGCAGGGAUGCUCUGAUAAGAAGGCUGUUGGAUGUUUGGAUGCCCACCAUCGACCCCUCUUAAGUACAAGUAGUGAUAUUCGAUUCAGAUUUGGGAGAGGGAACUGGUUGUAGUUGGGAGAGGGAGGCUGUAUGAUGGUGAUGAUUCAUGCGUGACUGAUUAUUGUGAUGCUUCAUCUUGUCCAUCUCCGACUGCCAUGAAAUGUUUUUAUUACUAUACAUUCCUGAAGCUAUAGUUGUGUUAUGUCAUUAUGUUGCGCACUUUGUGAUAGCUAUGGACGGGUUGCAAUUUACAGAGUAUGGACGGG
rnacentral:lncRNA from 1 species